rnacentral:rRNA from 1 species
ACGAACGCUGACGGCGUGCUUAACACAUGCAAGUCGAACGGUGAAGCGCCUUCCUUUUUGGUGGGUGUGGAUGAGUGGCGAACGGGUGAGUAACACGUGAGUAACCUGCCCCCUUCUUCUGGAUAACCGCAUGAAAGUGUGGCUAAUACGGGAUAUUCUGGGUCUGUCGCAUGAUGGGUCUGGGAAAGAUAUUGUUUCGGUGGGGGAUGGGCUCGCGGCCUAUCAGCUUGUUGGUGGGGUGAUGGCCUACCAAGGCGGUGACGGGUAGCCGGCCUGAGAGGGUGGACGGUCACACUGGGACUGAGACACGGCCCAGACUCCUACGGGAGGCAGCAGUGGGGAAUAUUGCACAAUGGGCGCAAGCCUGAUGCAGCGACGCCGCGUGAGGGAUGGAGGCCUUCGGGUUGUGAACCUCUUUCGCCAGUGAAGCAGGCCUGCCUCGUUUGUGGGUGGGUUGACGGUAGCUGGAUAAGAAACGCCGGCGAACUACGU